rnacentral:rRNA from 1 species
UACGUAGGGUGCGAGCGUUAAUCGGAAUUACUGGGCGUAAAGCGUGCGCAGGCGGUUUUGUAAGCCAGAUGUGAAAUCCCCGAGCUUAACUUGGGAACUGCAUUUGGGACUGCAAGGCUAGAGUACGGCAGAGGGGGGUAGAAUUCCUGGUGUAGCAGUGAAAUGCGUAGAUAUCAGGAGGAAUACCGAUGGCGAAGGCAGCCCCCUGGGCCGAUACUGAC